rnacentral:rRNA from 1 species
CAUGCCGCGUGAGGAUGACGGCCCUAUGGGUUGUAAACUUCUUUUAUAGAGGAAGAAACUUGUCUACGUGUAGACAACUGACGGUACUCUACGAAUAAGGAUCGGCUAACUCCGUGCCAGCAGCCGCGGUAAU